CCAGACUCCUACGGGAGGCAGCAGUGGGGAAUAUUGCACAAUGGGGGAAACCCUGAUGCAGCAACGCCGCGUGAAGGAAGACGGUUUUCGGAUUGUAAACUUCUAUCAAUAGGGAAGAAAGGAAUGACGGUACCUAAAUAAGAAGCCCCGGCUAACUACGUGCCAGCAGCCGCGGUAAUACGGAGGAUGCGAGCGUUAUCCGGAUUUAUUGGGUUUAAAGGGUGCGUAGGCGGACGCUUAAGUCAGCGGUAAAAUUGCGGGGCUCAACCUCGUCGAGCCGUUGAAACUGGGUGCCUUGAGUGGGCGAGAAGUACGCGGAAUGCGUGGUGUAGCGGUGAAAUGCAUAGAUAUCACGCAGAACUCCGAUUGCGAAGGCAGCGUACCGGCGCCCAACUGACGCUGAAGCACGAAGGCGUGGGUAUCGAACAGGAUUAGAUACCCGCGUAGU
rnacentral:rRNA from 1 species